CAUGUCCCGAAUCUUUCUAGAUUAUCUUAGAAGAUGUGUACAAGCUAUAAUUACGUGUUUUAUCGAUUGAAUUCUGAGACAGGACUUAUGAAUUGUUCAGACAACAAUUAUUCGUGAAAGCAUUGAUCGGAGUCGUAGUGUAGAUUCCAAGUGAGUGACUUUAAUAUUAUGUGAUAUUGUUAUUACCCAUAGAAUUUCCUUGUUAUAUACAAUGUGGAUUUAACAUGGAAUUACAAAUGAUUGUGAACUGUGGCUUAUAGAGGACCGCUAACCCAUUAUCAUAGGGUGAUGGGAUUGAAUCUCAAUGUGCACCAUGUAGCAAUGGAACAUUGAUUGUCCCACCUAGUUAAUUUGCAUAGGAGGACCAUACAAUUUAUGGGUUGCACCUAGUUAAUCCGCAUUAGGCAACCCUAAGAUCGCGCUUGGUUAUUCCGCAUUGGGCGAUCCUCGUUACCUAGGUACAGCCAUAUGUAGUUUAGGGGUGAUAACACCUAAUUAAUCUGCAUUGGGUGAUCAUUGCCUAUUAGUGUUCUCGGUAAUGGUUAGGGUUGGUUAAUCCUCAAUAGGGACUACAUCCUAUUCGGUUACCUAUUGUAGGCUUCGACUGAACUGUGUCUCUCUAUAGCCAUAGACUUCAUGUUUAUUACAUAUAUAAAGGAUUAUAUUAAAAGCCUAUGUGGCUCAAUCUAGAAAGGGACAAUUGAAUCAAAUAGUUUACAUGAUAGUGUUGCCUAAAAGAGAAUGAAUUCAGAUGUGACUCAUUCCUACUUGUAGUGAAGAGAUGCAAUGAUGAAAAAGAUACCAAUCUCAUUCCUACACGUGAUUGUAUUAUUGAUGGUGUGUCAUUCCUACACAACUUCGGGUUAUGUGAUGAAUAAUAAUCAUCUUGAAAGACGUGUGGUGAGAUUCGAAAUUGAAUGACCAUUCCUAUAUGUAUUAAUGAGGUGGAUGGUGGUUAAAUUAUGAAAUAUAUGGCAACUGGACCCUUGUGAUUAUGCGGAAUUGAUGAUAGGCUA
rnacentral:lncRNA from 1 species